GACAGAGGUCCCGAGCGUUAGGCGGAAUCACUGGGCUUAAAGCGUGUGUAGGCGGAUGCCUAAGUACCUUGUGAAAUCCCAUGGCUUAACCAUGGAAUUGCUUGGUAUACUGGGUGUCUUGAGCCAGCUAGGGGCAACCGGAACAAAUGGUGGAGCGGUGAAAUGCGUAGAUAUCAUUUGGAACGCCAAUGGUGAAAACAGGUUGCUGGGGCUGUGCUGACGCUGAGACACGAAAGCCAGGGGAGCAAACGGG
rnacentral:rRNA from 1 species